UACAGAAGCAGAACCCUCAAGCCUCCCCUCCACUCUGAUCUCUCAAGAUCCAAACCCCUCUGACCUGCCUUCUACACCAGCCUCUAAAGAUCCCAAACCUUCAAGGCCUCCUUCAACACCAGUCACUAGAGAUCCAAACCCCUCUGACCUGCCUUCUACACCAGCCUCUAAAG